GACGAACGCUGGCGGCGUGCUUAACACAUGCAAGUCGAACGAAGUGGCGAACGGGUGAGUAACGCGUAAUCAACUGCCCCCCUCCCUGGGAUAACAGUUGGAAACGGCUGCUAAUACCGGAUAGUGGGGGAUGGCUCGCGGCCUAUCAGCCUGUUGGUGGGGUAGUGGCUUACCAAGGCGCCGACGGGUAGCCGGCCUGGGAGGGCGCACGUCCACAUUGGGCUGAGAGACGGCCCAAACGCGUACGGGGGGCAGCAGUGGGGAAUAUUGCACAAUAGGGGAAACCCUGGUACAGCGACGCCGCGUGCGGAAUGACGGCCUGCGGGUUGUAAACCGCUUUCAGCCAUGACGCGGUAGUGGCAGAAAAAGCACCGGCUAACUACGUGCCAGCAGCCGCGGUAAUAC
rnacentral:rRNA from 1 species